rnacentral:rRNA from 1 species
GUACCGCCGAAGUCGUGUCAUUCCAGCAUAUAGGGCCAACGCCUGCUGGGAUGGGUAGGGGAGCGUCGUGUGCCGGGUGAAGCCGCGCCGGAAGGCAGUGGUGGACGGUUCACGAGUGAGAAUGCAGGCAUGAGUAGCGAUACAAACGUGAGAAACGUUUGCGCCGAUUGACCAAGGGUUCCUGGGUCAAGCUGAUCUGCCCAGGGUAAGUCGGGACCUAAGGCGAGGCCGACAGGCGUAGUCGAUGGAUAACCGGUUGAUAUUCCGGUACCCGCUGUGAAGCGUCAAACAUCGA